GUCGAACGGACAGAUUGGAGUUUGCUCCAUGAAGUUAGUGGCGGACGGGUGAGUAACGCGUGGGUAACCUGCCCUAUGCAGGGGGAUAACGUUUGGAAACGAACGCUAAUACCGCAUAACCUAGUUGGUUCGCAUGAACUAAUUAGCAAAGAUUUAUCGGCAUAGGAUGGACCCGCGUUGGAUUAGCUAGUUGGUGAGAUAACAGCUCACCAAGGCGACGAUCCAUAGCCGGCCUGAGAGGGUGAACGGCCACACUGGGACUGAGACACGGCCCAGACUCCUACGGGAGGCAGCAGUGGGGAAUAUUGCACAAUGGGCGCAAGCCUGAUGCAGCGACGCCGCGUAAAGGAUGAAGGUUUUCGGAUCGUAAACUUCUAUCAGCAGGGAAGAAACCAAUGACGGUACCUGACUAAGAAGCCCCGGCUAACUACGUGCCAGCAGCCGCGGUAAUACGUAGGGGCAAGCGUUAUCCGGAUUCACUGGGUGUAAAGGGUGCGUAGGUGGUAUGGUAAGUCAGAUGUGAAAACUUGGGGCUCAACUUCAAGAUUGCAUCUGAAACUACUAAACUAGAGUGCAGGAGAGGAAAGCGGAAUUCCGAGUGUAGCGGUGAAAUGCGUAGAGAUUCGGAGGAACACCAGUAGCGAAGGCGGCUUUCUGGACUGUAACUGACACUGAGGCA
rnacentral:rRNA from 1 species